GAUGAACGCUGGCGGCGUGCCUAAUACAUGCAAGUCGAGCGAACGGACGAGAAGCUUGCUUCUCUGAUGUUAGCGGCGGACGGGUGAGUAACACGUGGAUCACAUACCUAUAAGACUGGGAUAAUUUCGGGAAACCGGAGCUAAUACUGGAUAAUAUUUUGAACCGCAUGGUUCAAAAGUGAAAGACGGUUUUGCUGUCACUUAUAGAUGGAUCCGCGCUGCAUUAGCUAGUUGGUAAGGUAACGGCUUACCAAGGCAACGAUGCAUAGCCGACCUGAGAGGGUGAUCGGCCACACUGGAACUGAGACACGGUCCAGACUCCUACGGGAGGCAGCAGUAGGGAAUCUUCCGCAAUGGGCGAAAGCCUGACGGAGCAACGCCGCGUGAGUGAUGAAGGUCUUCGGAUCGUAAAACUCUGUUAUUAGGGAAGAACAUAUGUGUAAGUAACUGUGCACAUCUUGACGGUACCUAAUCAGAAAGCCACGGCUAACUACGUG
rnacentral:rRNA from 1 species